GCAGUGAUGACCAUUAGUGGUUUUUGAUCAGCAAUGAGAAAAAAAAACUAACAUUUCCUCUAAGAAGUUCUGAGCUC